GACGAACGCUGGCGGCGUGCCUAAUACAUGCAAGCAGAACGCACAGUUUAUACCGUAGCUUGCUACACCAUAGACUGUGAGUUGCGAACGGGUGAGUAACGCGUAGGUAACCUGCCUGGUAGCGGGGGAUAACUAUUGGAAACGAUAGCUAAUACCGCAUAAUAUUAAUUAUUGCAUGAUAAUUAAUUGAAAGGUGCAAUUGCACCACUACCAGAUGGACCUGCGUUGUAUUAGCUAGUAGGUGAGGUAACGGCUCACCUAGGCGACGAUACAUAGCCGACCUGAGAGGGUGAUCGGCCACACUGGGACUGAGACACGGCCCAGACUCCUACGGGAGGCAGCAGUAGGGAAUCUUCGGCAAUGGACGAAAGUCUGACCGAGCAACGCCGCGUGAGUGAAGAAGGUUUUCGGAUCGUAAAGCUCUGUUGUAAGAGAAGAACGGGUGUGAGAGUGGAAAGUUCACACUGUGACGGUAUCUUACCAGAAAGGGACGGCUAACUACGUG
rnacentral:rRNA from 1 species